rnacentral:rRNA from 1 species
AUCGAACGCUGGCGGCAGGCCUAACACAUGCAAGUCGAACGAGUGGCGGACGGGUGAGUAAUGGCUGGGAAACUGCCUGAUGGAGGGGGAUAACUACUGGAAAAGGUAGCUAAUACCGCAUACCAUCGGAUGUGCCCAGAUGGGAUUAGCUAGUAGGUGGGGUAAAGGACAACCUAGGCGACGAUCCCUAGCUGGUCUGAGAGGAAGACCCGCCACACUGGACCUGAGACACGGUCCAGACUCCUACGGGAGGCAGCCGUGGGGAAUUUUGCCCAAUGGGCGCCAGCCUGAUGCAGCCAUGCCGCGUGUAUGAAGAAGGCCUUCGGGUUGUAAAGUACUUUCAGCGGGGAAGCGUUACCCGCAGAAGAAGCACCGGCUAACUCCGUGCCCGCAGCCGCGGUAAUAC